UACAGAGGGGGCAAGCGUUAUUCGGAAUUAUUGGGCGUAAAGGGCGCGUAGGCGGCCUUGCAAGUGACGGGUGAAAUCCCUCGGCUUAACCGAGGAACUGCCUGUCAGACUGCGAGGCUUGAGACCGGGAGAGGUGAGUGGAAUUCCCAGUGUAGCGGUGAAAUGCGUAGAUAUUGGAAAGAACACCGAUGGCGAAGGCACUCUACUGGGCUAUUACUGACACUCAGAGACGAAAGCUAGGGGAGCAAAUGGG
rnacentral:rRNA from 1 species